rnacentral:rRNA from 1 species
CCUACGGGAGGCAGCAGUGGGGGAUAUUGCACAAUGGGGGAAACCCUGAUGCAGCGACGCCGCGUGGGUGAAGAAGUAUUUCGGUAUGUAAAGCCCUAUCAGCAGGGAAGAAAGAAGACGGUACCUGACUAAGAAGCCCCGGCUAACUACGUGCCAGCAGCCGCGGUAAUACGUAGGGGGCGAGCGUUAUCCGGAUUCACUGGGUGUAAAGGGAGCGUAGACGGCCGUGCAAGCCAGGAGUGAAAGCCCGGGGCCCAACCCCGGGACUGCUCUUGGAACUGUGCGGCUGGAGUGCGGGAGGGGCAGGCGGAAUGCCUGGUGUAGCGGUGAAAUGCGUAGAUAUCAGGAGGAACACCGGCGGCGAAGGCGGCCUGCUGGACCGCGACUGACGUUGAGGCUCGAAAGCGUGGGGAGCGAACAGGAUUAGAUACCCCGGUAGUC